CAACUACCCUUGAAAGAAGGCUAUCCUUGGUUAGUCCCUCAUCAACAACAUUUUGUUCUAAUAUGUAUUAUCUUUUUAUAAUACUUACCUUACAGUAAGAUUUCCAGAAUUGCCAGAAAUGCAAAUAUUUGUUGCAUGUUUACUUGUUCUGCUAUCCACAAAGCACAUCACAACUACUGCCCUUCUACAGAGACAUAGACGUUCAUAGUGUAGAAAUCUCCUUUGCUUUGUACCUGUUUUGCUGCC
rnacentral:lncRNA from 1 species